AUGCUGCUCUGUCUCCCAAAAACCAGCUCCAGGAUAUUUUUGUUUCCACAUUACUCUAUAAUGAAGAGCUAAUGAAGCACACAGAGGACAAAUGUGCUGCCUGCGAUUUUUGAAAAAAUGAAUGUCAGAAGUAAACAAGCAUGACCUGCUUAGCAGAGAGAGAAGGGCAACAGAGAAGGAUGUAUAGAAAUGAGUGGAUCAAACACACACACAGAGGGAGAGGGAGAAAGCUGCUGCUCUGUAUGAUAACCCUAAACACACUUUCAUCGUCAAAAAGCUUUGAUCCCCCACACACCCCUGCACUCUCUUACUGAGCAUGCUCAGACAGCUCAUCGACCGCACUCAUGAAUACUUUAUAAUAGGGGUAUGAACAUCAUGUUUUCAAGCACUGCGGAGGAGAAGGAGAUGAGGAAGAAGGGUGAGAACACCACUCAGAAGAGGGGGACAGGUGGUGGUGCAGGUGUUAGUGUGCAGUCAAACAAAUUGCUUGUUGACCUUGAUGACCCCACUGAGUGGGUCAAUGAAGAACUGGUUGUUUCGGUCUCCGCUGAAGAUGGAGUAGAGGAUGGCUCCAUUCAGCUGACUGUCCACAUCUUCUGCUACCAGCUGCAAACAGAGGCACACAGCACGGCAAUUUAAGGGUUGGGUCUUCCCCAAGGACAUUUUGGCACAUGGACUGGAGGAGCCCUCUCCAGCUCCUGAGCCUUCGCCCACAACAACAGAAUAUCAAUCAGCAUAUGAUAUGGGGAACUGAGCUGGUCCGACCACGCAGUUAAGGGAGCAGCGGUGUGGAGAACAAGUGGAGUGAUGUUGGAAAAUGAGUCUGAAAUGUGCUGCACACUCACCGGUCACUGGGUGGAUGUGGAACUUCCCGUGCUCGUUGCCUG